GACCUCACCGUGGCCAAGUGGUCAGGGCAUCCUACUUUGAUGCAGGAGGCUGCUGGUUCGAACUCCGGCUGAGGUAUACA